rnacentral:rRNA from 1 species
UACGAAGGGGGCUAGCGUUGUUCGGAAUCACUGGGCGUAAAGCGCACGUAGGCGGACCUUCAAGUCAGGGGUGAAAUCCCGGGGCUCAACCUCGGAACUGCCUUUGAUACUGUUGGUCUUGAGUCCGGAAGAGGUGGGUGGAAUUCCUAGUGUAGAGGUGAAAUUCGUAGAUAUUAGGAAGAACACCGAUGGCGAAGGCAGCCCCCUGGGUCAAGAUUGACGCUCAUGCACGAAAGCGUGGGGAGCAAACAGG